GCAUGGGUUUGGAUUUAUGGUGGGCCCGUCCCCCUGGGCCUCUCAUAGUGUCCCAUGCCACAGCAGAGGUGGCCCCGAACCAUUGCCUGGCCUCCGCCGUAGGCUGCGGGCACUGAAGCGGGCCGCACACUG